UUAAUGGUGCAUCUACAAAGGGCUUAGAGUUUGAUCCGAUCAAAUCCUAUUCUGUAAGUUCACUAGAUUGUGUCGGUUCAUCUACCUAUCGAACUUCAUCAAGUUCAACCUUUGAGGCAUGAGUUUUUUCAUCAAGAAACUCCUUUUCUAGAAAGAUUGCCUUAAGGCUAAUGAACACCUUUUGUUCAUUAGAAAGAUAGAAAUAAUAUCCCUUAGU
rnacentral:lncRNA from 1 species